GAUGAACGCUGGCGGCGUGCCUAAUACAUGCAAGUCGAGCGAAGCGGGGACGGGUGAGUAACACGUGGAUAACCUCCUAUAAGACUGGGAUAACUUCGGGAAACCGGAGCUAACCCGGAUCCUUCAAGAUGGGUCCGCGCUGCAUGAGCGAGUUGGUAAGGUAACGGCUUACCAAGGCGACGAUGCAUAGCCGAUCUGUGAGGGUGACCGGCCACACUGGAACUGGUACACUGUCCAGACUCCUACGGGAGGCAGCAGUAGUGAAUCUUCCGCAAUGGGCGAAAGCCUGACGGAGCAACGCCGCGUGUGUGAUGAAGGUCUUCGGAUCGUAAAGCUCUGUUAUUAGGGAAGCGGUACCUGAGGAGAAAGCCACGGCUAACUACGUGCCAGCAGCCGCGGUAAUAC
rnacentral:rRNA from 1 species